UAGUCAUUUCAUAUUGUGUGAACUCUAGC
rnacentral:piRNA from 1 species